UGGGGGAAUAUUGCACAAUGGGGGAAACCCUGAUGCAGCGACGCCGCGUGAACGAAGAAGUAUUUCGGUAUGUAAAGUUCUAUCAGCAGGGAAGAUAAUGACGGUACCUGACUAAGAAGCACCGGCUAAAUACGUGCCAGCAGCCGCGGUAAUACGUAUGGUGCAAGCGUUAUCCGGAUUUACUGGGUGUAAAGGGAGCGCAGGCGGUGCGGCAAGUCUGAUGUGAAAGCCCGGGGCUCAAACCCCGGUACUGCAUUGGAAACUGUCGUACUAGAGUGUCGGAGGGGUAAGUGGAAUUCCUAGUGUAGCGGUGAAAUGCGUAGAUAUCAUGAAGAAACUCCGAUCGCGAAGGCAGGUGUCCGGAGUGCUACUGACGCUGAGGCUCGAAGGUGUGGGUAUCAAACAGGAUUAGAUACCCUGUAGU
rnacentral:rRNA from 1 species